rnacentral:snRNA from 1 species
CUACAGUCCGUGUACUAACAUUAAAACUUACAUGGAUAAGAUUAGCAUGGCCCUGCAUAAGAAUGACAUGGAAAUUCGGCAAGUAUUCAUCAAUAUU